UCACACAAACUAUGAUCCUUCUUACCUUAAGAGUUGUUAUUUUCCCAAAAUUCUCAAUAGUUUUUAGGUAUUAAUUGGAGUGUCUUUCUCGAGAAACACUUCCUUCACUCAUUACAUCUCUAGAAAGAAGAACCACCAAAUCAACAUGGAGGAUUUUCAUAAAGAAUUUCAAGAGAAGAAUUCAGAUGUAAAGUCAAGGUUUGAUAUUGGCAAUGCAUCUGGAAAGAAGUGGAUAUCAAUGAUUAAUGAGGUUAGUUUCUCUUGUAGCCUUUCCUUUUUUUAUUAUUGACUUGAAUUGCGUUAUUAUGAUUGUGAUGUCUGAUGGCUGAAAACUGAGUAAAUUAAGCAUGUGAGGAAGAAGAACAUUUUUGUUAUAUUUGAAGCAGUUGUAAUUAAUUGUAACUACUUUUUCAUUUCUAGGCUGAUAUACUAAUAAUGGCAACGGAUAUAUUUACUGAUACAAAGGUGUCCAUCCCUUUUACUUCAUAUUUUCUUCCUUUUAGCAUAUAGAUGUAAUGCAGAAGUAGCAGAACUGUGCCCUCUGAUUAGAAUUCUAGGGUGAACUGAGAUUUAAUGCAGAAAUAGAUUAAGAUACUAUGGUUCAGACUAUAGUAUUAAAUUAUAUUAUUGGGUACAUGAAAUUUAGCUUUGUUCUUCAGUUUUAGAAAAAUGGUAUACCCAGAAUUGAUCACCAAAAAAGAUAUAUAUGUAAUUAUCUUCAGUUUCUUGCAUUAUUAAAUGGUGGCACCAUGGCGGGGCAGAUUUUAUGGUAGAUAACAUCAAUGAAACUUUGGUCUUUAACCAAUCUGAAUGACAUCAUGUAAUCCAUGUAGCUGACCUCAUCUAGUGGGAUAAAAUUUUGUUGUUCUUGCUAGAAGAAAAAGAUAGUGUGGUGUUUUAUAGAGCCUUGGACUCCCUCAACUACAACAACUACCUUUUGUGGUAUGUUUCUCCUAUAGUUUUUAUAAGCACCCAUGCUCAUUUGCUGAUGUUCAUUCAAAAUCAAUAUAGAACUAGUUUUUGAAGUUUGUUUCCUGUUUGAUUACUUGGCAAAAUGUAGCAUGAAGUUUGCAUAUAGUUUAUUCGUUUAUGUUAACAGCACUUGUACCUGACAGGAGUAGGUUAAAUACUAUGAUAUAGUAUCAGAAAAACGUAUAGAAUUUGAUAGAGCAAUGGCAGAAUUUAACAAUAAAAUGGUAAGCGAUCACUCAUUUUCCUUGCUAUGGAGUUGUCUCCUAUUUGCCAGGUUAUGGAAUAUUCAAUUUAUUUUCUGCUGCUUAGCAGAAAAGUGGGGAGUUUGACAAAAUUGAUGAGUAAAGCCACCUUAUUUUUCUGUAGUCAUUUUUUCUUUGGAUUCGGUCAUCCAUUUCUCUGGGUUGUGUAUUGCAAGUGUUUGUAUUGUUUCAAAUGCUGAGAAGCUGAGGGUGGUUCUUUGAGAAUACUCUUUAUUUCUUUUGAUGGAGUUUUGCAUCCAUUGAGAGAUUAAAAUUUAACAUUUAAUUGUUUAAAAGUGGAGGAAAAAAUGGUAAAAAGAUGGUAAAAGUUGUGUGGGAUUCUGUUCUUGAUAUUUAUGUGAUGGCUUCAGAUUUUAGACCAGGAACUGAAUACAAUGAUGGCAUUUCGAAGUUCUAAUGGCUUCA